rnacentral:lncRNA from 1 species
CAUGUGAUCCGCGCGCUAGCUUCCGGCAUGUUAGUGCGCAAGUACGAACCUUCCACUGGUAGGCCUCCACUUUUUGCAGCCCAGUAAAAAUGAUGCACUAUUUGAAUUUUUUUUGUUUUUGUCAGCGAUGCAUUGUACCUGGCCCUCUGUCUCAGCGGAAACGUGCAGAACUGAGAGAGGCCCAAUUGGUGGCCGUAUGAUGACCUUUGAAACACGGGGUAAAACUAUAGUAGUAAAUGCUAAAAUCCCACGGCAAGAACUGACCAAGAAGUAUCCUUUCAAAAUCUAUGGCCAUGAAAAGCAUCGCUUCAUCCAUUGUCCAAGAGUAAUUGAAAAUAAUUGAGUUUGCGAGAGAUGGCAACACGUAUAAUAGUUGGCAGAUGACGUAUCAAAUGAAACCAUCCAUGUACUAACUUGAG